UACAGGGGGGGCAAGCGUUGUUCGGAAUUACUGGGCGUAAAGGGCUCGUAGGCGGCCAACUAAGUCGGACGUGAAAUCCCCAGGCUCAACCUGGGAACUGCGUCCGAUACUGGAUGGCUUGAAUCCGGGAGAGGGAUGCAGAAUUCCAGGUGUAGCGGUGAAAUGCGUAGAUAUCUGGAGGAAUACCGGUGGCGAAGGCGGCAUCCUGGACCGGCAUUGACGCUGAGGAGCGAAAGCGUGGGGAGCAAACAGG
rnacentral:rRNA from 1 species